UUGAACGCUGGCGGCAGGCCUAACACAUGCAAGUCGAACGGUAACAGGAAACAGCUUGCUGUUUCGCUGACGAGUGGCGGACGGGUGAGUAAUGUCUGGGAAACUGCCUGAUGGAGGGGGAUAACUACUGGAAACGGUAGCUAAUACCGCAUAAUGUCGCAAGACCAAAGAGGGGGACCUUCGGGCCUCUUGCCAUCGGAUGUGCCCAGAUGGGAUUAGCUAGUAGGUGGGGUAACGGCUCACCUAGGCGACGAUCCCUAGCUGGUCUGAGAGGAUGACCAGCCACACUGGAACUGAGACACGGUCCAGACUCCUACGGGAGGCAGCAGUGGGGAAUAUUGCACAAUGGGCGCAAGCCUGAUGCAGCCAUGCCGCGUGUAUGAAGAAGGCCUUCGGGUUGUAAAGUACUUUCAGCGGGGAGGAAGGGAGUAAAGUUAAUACCUUUGCUCAUUGACGUUACCCGCAGAAGAAGCACCGGCUAACUCCGUGCCAGCAGCCGCGGUAAUACGGAGGGUGCAAGCGUUAAUCGGAAUUACUGGGCGUAAAGCGCACGCAGGCGGUUUGUUAAGUCAGAUGUGAAAUCCCCGGGCUCAACCUGGGAACUGCAUCUGAUACUGGCAAGCUUGAGUCUCGUAGAGGGGGGUAGAAUUCCAGGUGUAGCGGUGAAAUGCGUAGAGAUCUGGAGGAAUACCGGUGGCGAAGGCGGCCCCCUGGACGAAGACUGACGCUCAGGUGCGAAAGCGUGGGGAGCAAACAGGAUUAGAUACCCUGGUAGUCCACGCCGUAAACGAUGUCGACUUGGAGGUUGUGCCCUUGAGGCGUGGCUUCCGGAGCUAACGCGUUAAGUCGACCGCCUGGGGAGUACGGCCGCAAGGUUAAAACUCAAAUGAAUUGACGGGGGCCCGCACAAGCGGUGGAGCAUGUGGUUUAAUUCGAUGCAACGCGAAGAACCUUACCUGGUCUUGACAUCCACAGAACUUUCCAGAGAUGGAUUGGUGCCUUCGGGAACUGUGAGACAGGUGCUGCAUGGCUGUCGUCAGCUCGUGUUGUGAAAUGUUGGGUUAAGUCCCGCAACGAGCGCAACCCUUAUCCUUUGUUGCCAGCGGUCCGGCCGGGAACUCAAAGGAGACUGCCAGUGAUAAACUGGAGGAAGGUGGGGAUGACGUCAAAUCAUCAUGCCCCUUAUGACCUGGGCUACACACGUGCUACAAUGGCGCAUACAAAGAGAAGCGACCUCGCGAGAGCAAGCGGACCUCAUAAAGUGCGUCGUAGUCCGGAUUGGAGUCUGCAACUCGACUCCAUGAAGUCGGAAUCGCUAGUAAUCGUGGAUCAGAAUGCCACGGUGAAUACGUUCCCGGGCCUUGUACACACCGCCCGUCACACCAUGGGAGUGGGUUGCAAAAGAAGUAGGUAGCUUAACCUUCGGGAGGGCGCUUACCACUUUGUGAUUCAUGACUGGGGUG
rnacentral:rRNA from 1 species